rnacentral:rRNA from 1 species
AUCUUGCACAAUGGGGGCAACCCUGAUGCAGCGACGCCGCGUGAGCGAUGAAGCCCUUCGGGUCGUAAAGCUCUUUCGACCGGAACGAUAAUGACGGUACCGGGAGACGACGCUGCGGCUAACUACGUGCCAGCAGCCGCGGUAAUACGUGGGCAGCAAGCGGUGUUCGGAGUUACUGGGCGUAAAGAGUGCUUAGGCGGUUUUCUAAGUUCGGUGUGAAAUCUCCCGGUUUAACUGGGAGGGUGCGCCGAAGACUGGGAAGCUGGAGUGUGGGAAAGGCAGGCGGAAUUCCUGGUGUAGCGGUGAAAUGCGUAGAUAUCAGGAGGAACACCGGCGGUGUAGACGGCUUGCUAGACCAUAACUGACGCUGAGGCACGAAAGCGUGGGUAGCAAACA